GACGAACGCUGGCGGCGUGCUUAACACAUGCAAGUCGAACGAAGUGGCGAACGGGUGAGUAACGCGUAAUCAACCUGCCCUUCAGAGGGGGACAACAGUUGGAACCGACUGCUAAUACCGCAUACUGAAGGACGGGAUUGCGUCUGAUUAGCUCGUUGGGGGGGUAACGGCCCACCAAGGCGAUGAUCAGUAGGCGGGCUGAGGGGAUGAACGGCCACAUUGGGAAUUAGGAACGGCCCCGGCUGCUACGGGAGGCAGCAGUGGGGAAUCUUCCGAAAUGGACGAAAGUCUGACGGAGGAAAGCCGGGGGGGUGAGGACGGCCUUAGGGGUGGAAAGCUCUGUUAAUCGGGACGCGGUACCGGAAUAGAAAGCCACGGCUAACUACGUGCCAGCCGCCGCGGUAAUAC
rnacentral:rRNA from 1 species